GUUAUCAAGAAAGGCAGAGGGACUAGACCCAACGAAGCCUUAGCAACCCUUUUUCUAUAUCAAGUAGAAAAAGAAGGUGCUACAUUCUACUGCAACAGCAGAUAGAUAA
rnacentral:ncRNA from 1 species